rnacentral:misc_RNA from 1 species
CCUCAGUCACCUACGGGCCUUCGACUGAGUUGUUUCACGCCGCUCCGACCUCCGAUUCAUUUAAGGAUAACGAAAUUUUUCUGGUGAAGACGAGGACAGUCGCCGGAGGCAUUGUUGCACUUCCCCGUCCUUGAGAUUGCGUUCAGGAUUGGACUUGAACUUUGAACUGGGAGACGUUGCAACUUGAGGAUGAGAUGGUUUCAAAAAAACUCUGACGCUCCACGCUUGCUGAGUUUAUCUCCUCUGAGACAGGAUGUGGAAGGGGGUUAUUCCGAAGUGCAAAGAUCCCCGUUGCCAUCGCCUAGACAUAGAUCCCGAUUAGAUUUAUCUCCCAUCCAAUGGCAGCGGGGUUGCAACCCUUUGAACCUUGGAGCCCAGUACAUAAAUGUAGACGGUCAGGGUGAAGGCGAACAGCAGUCGGCCAACAGUGAUCGAGAGCUUGCCCUGAGGGCAUUUUCAAGAGAGAAAAGAAAUCCAUUGCUCGAAAAAGUUAAAAACACAAAACUCUCGUGCUUCGCAUCGACAAAGCCGACUACAAGCAGCAGCACUGAAGUUUACGACGAGCUGACCCCGUCAUUCAACACGGAUAACGAUUUUUUAAUACAGCAGAAUAGAAAUUACAAACAAAUUUACAAAACAAAAGCAGCCUCUUUUGAAAAUCUUUUAGACGACCCUCAAUACAACUCCAGCAAUAAAAGGGACAACAUAAAGUUCGACCAUCAUGUCACAAACUACAGCCAAGAUCACCCAUUUGUCGGAGAAUCGAAAGUCGACACUGGAAAAAUGAACCAAUCCAAUACAUCUAAACUGAGCAAUUGCGAAGAGCAUGCCAGUUCUUCUUCCUCGUUUGGAACCAAAUUCCGCACUAUGUCUCAAAAAUAUUUAAAAAGUUCUACCAACAGGUUUCUGGCGAAGCUGUACAAGCACAAUGUACACAACAUAGAACCCACGACUCAACAAAAAGGUCCCCCGGUCAAAUCGCCCAAUAAAGCCAAACUGAGAAGUUUCUCUUACGGUGCUCUUCCUGGGAUGGAAGAAUUUCAAAAACAGCAAAAUUCCAACUGUAACGAGGAAGAAAUGCAAAAAUAUUACAAUGGAAAUCAAAGGCUAGAAGGCGGAAAUUAUUUCACAAGAGAUUCCGAAGACAACGACAGCGGUAUUUUAGUCAACACAUCCGCGACUUCAUCAGUAGUGGGAUGCAUAGUUCCGAAAGCGUUCCACGACGAUAAAGUCGAAGUCUGCCACAUGCGAAGCGUUUCUCAAGACAGCCCUCCUGACAUUGAUUACCAAAACGUUAGAUAUUAUUACAAUGGGGCGAGAACGCCGACUAAAUUGAACCAAGCGAAAUGUGAUGAACCCCAAGGGAAGGAUUUCCCUCCUCCUAUUCCUCCACACCAGCCUAGCUUUCCACGAAAUGACAAAAGAGAAUCUAGGGUGAAAACGUUCAUUCUGAUCAGGUUACAACGAUCCGAACCGAAUGAAAACCUCGGCAUAUGCAUAGCGGAAAUCGGGAGUCUGGCUUCUCAAGGAUAUGUAAUUGCCCACAUCGUGCCAGGAAGUUUAGCUGACAGGGACGGGACAUUGCAGAUUGAUGAUGAAAUCAUAAAUAUCAAUGGGAGGCGGCUGAGGGGAAUGGCUAUAGAAAACGCAAGAGAAGCUAUCUUCAAGGGGCCCAUUCAAGUCGAUAUAUUAAUCGCAAGAACAAUAGAAUGGAAAAUAAGUAAAAUGCAGGAGAGCAGUGUCGACUACGAAAACGUCAUGAUUUAUCCUCCAUCCCCGUUAAAGUCGAAACCGGGGUACGGAUCGAAACAAUUGGAAAAUUCCUUGUUGAACGGAGGCAACUUCGACAAGCAGGGCUCGGACAGUUCCCUCUCACCUACCGGGUUCCAAAAGCACAACACCCUCAGCCAUAAAAUGUAUCGUAAAAAUUUCGAAGUCUUUUCAGGAAAAUCUAUGAAAUGCAACACGUUCAACGAAAAGAGCCACGGCAAUUUCGUCAAGCAAUUGAACAAAACCGAAGACAACGUCGAUUCCUCGUUUUGCACACUCCCGAGGAGGCCGAGGUCGAGUAUUUACUCAUUGUACACGUUCGUCUUCGAAAAAGGGCCGGGGAAGAAAAGCCUCGGAUUCACGAUAGUCGGAGGGAAAGACUCACCGCGGGGUGCCAUGGGGAUAUUCAUCAAAAGCAUACUUGAAAGUGGUCAAGCAGCAGAUGACGGCCGUUUGAGAGAAGGGGAUGAACUCCUUGCUGUCAACGGUCAAGUGUGCCAUGAUAUGACCCACGCAGACGCUGUUGCACUUUUUAAGAAUAUCAAAAGCGGUCCUAUUGCCAUCCACGUAUCGAGACGAGUUCGUCCAGUCAAAUCCAUAAACCAGUUUUGAUGAAAACCAGACAAAAAUCUUGAUUCAAAACAUUGCCUUCGAAAAUGUUGAGAACAAGCAAGGCAAAAUCCUGCAUGGACCUAGUGCAAUCUCCAACAUCAGAAGAGAGAUAAGAUUCAUCAAGACUGUGAUAAUUUGUAAAAUAGUUAAUUUUUUUAAACAGAAAUAAACAUUUUCAUGUAUAUUAACUUACUUAAAUGUACAUACUAAUGUGUACCUAGAAAAAAAUACUGGUACUUUUUUUUAAACAAACUAUUUUAUAUUUUAAACUAAUUAAGAAUUGUAAUUGAAACAAAUUAUAAGCUGCUGUAAUUUUUGCUUAAAAAAUAUAGGUUUGAUAUGUAUUUUGUUGUUAAUAGUCCCAUUAGAUUGAAUUCAAAUGAUUCCAGUUUAGCUGCCGGUCGUUGUUUUUGUUAUAGUUCUAACAAUGAGCCUAGAUGAAGCAGAAAAUCGCUUUUUCAAAAUUAUCAUCAAAAAUAAAAUUAGUCUGUCUGAAUUUUCAAUAAUAUUAUUAAAUAUUCCCUUGGCAAUUAAUUUUAGAACAAAGACGAUAUUUAAAAAAAAAAUGAAUAAGUGUCACUAUUCAACUUUUAAGUAGCGAUAAACUUUAACAGUUUUAAAUUCAAUAUAAAUGUUUAUUAUGAUCUUAAUUGUGAAUGAUAGUUAAAAAAAAACUAUAAAUAGAAGUGGCCAUCUAUAUAUUAAGGCAUAAUGCCAAAGAUAUCAGUCAUUCUGUAAUUUUUAUUAAGCUGUAUAAAUUUUAGGAUUAAAUGCUAAGUAGAGAAUCUUUUGAUAACUUCUUAUGUGCAUUUUUGUGUCAAAUAAUGUUUCAAUUUGUAAAUGUGUUCAUUCGCAUUUUCAUUUUGUGAUUCAAAU